CAUUGCAAAUUCAACAACUCUUGAGAGGGAUAACGAAGGUGAUGAAGAUAUGGAUAUUGCUGAUCCUCCACCUUUGCAUGAUGAUGUUGUCACUCCUAUUGUUCCUUGUCCAACUGUUGAUGUCUCGGUCCAUGCCAUUGCCAAUGACCUUAAUGAUGAUUUUGAUUUUCCAUAGCGAUGAAGAUAUGUAGUUUAUUAAUGUUUGCUUGGUACAAUGAAAUAUUUAAACUACUUUUGUAAUUUUUUAUCUUUUUUCAACUAAUUAUUAUUUAUAAA